GCAAAAAAAUUUUCAUUCUUACAGAUGGCACGUGUACCCUGUAUGGUCUAACGAAUGGAACUGCAACACAGAAUACUUACUACCACAGCCGUAUAAAUCUUCCACCGGAUAACUCCCUUGAGGAAGUCGCGCGGAGAAAGCCAACAUUUUCAACUCUGCAAUAUGGAAGCCAAUUCGCUAGCUUAGCGGUUGACGGAGACUUAACUGAUACUACAAUGUACCACUCCGGUCUUUUUGUCAAGCCCUGGUGGCAAGUUGACCUCACAGAAGAGAGAGUCAUUUUCCAAGUCCAGAUCUUCCCAAGGCAACAUACAUUUUAUUUUAAAAGGUUCACGUCUAUGGAGGUUCGAGUGGGAAGAGCGUACAAGGAUGAUGGCAAUUUAACAUCUUACUUUCUCCUCUGCUCAUACCUGAAGGUAUACGAAAGAGCGGAAGGCCACAUUCUGUGUUCAAGCCAUACUGGCAUUGUUGGCAGAUACGUCAGUAUACAAAAAGUUACCGCUGAAGCCACUUACAUGCAAUUCAAUGAUGUGAAUGUAUUCGUUCUGAAGAAAUAAUUGAUUUAAGUUAGACCUAUC